ensembl:snRNA U6 U6 spliceosomal RNA
GGUGCUCGCUUUGGCAACACAUACUAAAGUUGGAAUGAUAUACCCCUGAGUGAGGAUGACAUGCAAAUUCAUGAAGCAUUCCACAUUUUA